rnacentral:rRNA from 1 species
GCCAUGCCGCGUGAGCGAGACGGCCUUCUGGGUGGUAAGCUCUUUUAUCAGGGAAGAAAAGUGCGGUACCUGUAUGGUAUUGCCNGGAUCAUAUGAAUACCGAGCGGCUCGUUCCGUGCCUAGCCGCCGCGGUAAU